rnacentral:lncRNA from 1 species
AAAUGGCGGCGUUUUCCCCCGCCACGACGCUAAAUCAAAGGUUGAUACCACGGCGGAGAAGCCCCCGAAGUUCUAUCCAGCUGAAGACGUUAAGAAACCUCUCGCCAACAGGCGCAAGCCAAAGCCUACCAAGCUCAGGUAUUUUAUAAAACUCCCUUACUUGUUGCUCUCUUGGACUAAUAUAUAGAUAGAUGUGAUUGUCUUGUAUGUGUUUGAUCGAUUUGUUUGGCUCUUAAGUACUUUCAGUCUCGUUUGAAUCGUAAUUGCAAAUAUGUAACUUCAAAGUAGUGGAAAUGUAGUGUUCAGGACGAUUUAGUUAUGCAUACCUGUUAUUCGUAGUCAGUUUCAUCUAUAUAUAUUUCCGAGUUAUUCUAAUCUCCUUAUAUAUGUAUUGCAGAGCAAGCAUCACCCCAGGGACAGUGCUGAUUAUCCUUGCUGGUAGGUUCAAGGGCAAGAGAGUUGUCUUUUUGAAACAGCUUCCCUCUGGUCUGCUUCUCGUUACUGGUGAGUUCUUCUAUAUCUAAUCUCAUGAUCUUUGAUACCUUUCAUUUUCCAUUUCGAAACAGAGCUCAUUCGCUACCUUUUCUUUGAGUGUUCUGUUGUUGUUAAUUUGUCACAUUCCUGUUUUGUUGUCGACUCUCAGGACCCUUCAAGAUCAAUGGUGUUCCUUUGAGACGUGUUAACCAGUCCUAUGUGAUCGGCACUUCCACAAAGGUUGACAUUUCUGGAGUGAGCCUCGAUAAAUUCGAUGAUAAGUAUUUUGGAAAGGUUACUGAGAAGAAAAAGAAGAAGGGAGAAGGAGAAUUCUUUGAGGCAGAGAAAGAGGUAUAUUUUCCCUCCAUUGUUUUUUACCAAACCAAAAUCUAUGCUUGAAGUUAAAAGAAAACCUUGUGCGUUUUGGAUUACGCAGGAGAAAAAGGAGAUUCCCCAAGGGAAGAAGGAUGACCAGAAGGCAGUGGACGCAGCUUUGAUCAAAGCCAUUGAAGCAGUUCCAGAGCUGAAGACUUACCUUGGCGCAAGGUUUUCAUUGAAACAAGGAAUGAAGCCCCAUGAGCUUGUUUUCUAGAUUUCAUAACCUUUCUCUGAGGUCUCUUCUAGAGUGUGUGUCUCCUUUAGUCUUACUCUCUAAAUGGUUGAUCUUGUUCUUGUUCACCGAUCAAAGACAAAUUUUUGGCUUCGUUAUUCCUAUGUUUUCUGGUUUUUACAUACGGAUAUUUAUCAAUCUUGUUUUUAAAAGUGAGAUUUGUAGCAAUGGAGAAAAAAAUUUCACAAGACUUCUAAAAUUGGGAUACGGUGACAAGCGAAGUAAUGGCUACGGUUCACAAGAUGGAAGUUGAAGAACUGUGAAAUUAACAAUUCUAAGAAGAUAUAAUUUGCUUACGUUCUAGUUGAAAUGGUUCUAAACACUUGUUACAAGUUUCUCUCAAACAUAGAUAGUGAGUAAAAGAGAUCAGGCCAAACAUACAUAAUGAAUAAGAAAGGGAGCUUCUAAACGAGAGCUUGAUCACCAACUUUAGGUGUUUCUUUGCCGGCACAAUCAGAAACUUUAGCUCCAGCCUCCACAUCUCCGGCCAAACAGCGUCUCCAUUUCCGUCUCAGAUACCCUAAAAGCCCACCACUCUUUAUCAUCUCAAGCGGAUUGGCUUCAGCCACUAAAACAGUGCUCUGGCGGCGCCGUGCGCAUAUCCGGCCCAAGAAGCAGGAGAGAACUGCAAGAACGACAAGAACAGAGAUGACUGCAAAGAAGGGUCCAAUGGAGCCGGACGAGUAGUGGUUUGGACCGUUUGGUGCUGCGAUUAGAUUAGCAUUUGUCGCUAUAGGCUCCAUCUCAUUGCUUCCUAAUGGCUGUUGCGGUUGUUGUUGAGUGGGAUACAACAAAGUGCUGCUAGUAGUACCAGUCAUUGCCAUUUGAUCUUAUGAUGCUUUGGUUCUUGGAGAUCAAGAUUCAAUAUUUCUCGAUAGAUCGAUGGGAUCUUUAGUUAUGGUGUAUCUGCGAAUGAAGGUCUAAUAUAUAGGCAUGUGCAUAUGAACAUUGGUCUUUUGAAAAGCUUUUAGCCGACCAGAGUUUGUAAAAGAAUGACAUGGAAAGGUGAAUAAAGGGGAGAAAUCCUCAUCAGCUUCAUCAAAAAAGCUUCUCAAUCUAUAAUAUAACAAAAGUAUAUAUAAUCCAUUGCUCUCUUAGAGGUGAAGUAAACGUUGACUUUAUUGUCUCGACUCUUGAUCUGAUUUUGAGGUUUGUGAUGUUAUUAUAGUUAUUAUUCUGAUUUUCUGAAACUGCCACUUACUGUCUGAGAUUAGUGAAGUGAAUAUGACUUAUGAAUGUUUUCUCUACAAAAUCAAUCGAUGCUUAGAGCAUCUCCACCCCUCAUACUCAUGAAGGGUUGUUAAAUAUUAUUUAAUAAUAAAUUUGACAUUUUUAAAAAUUAAGAACUCCUUUUCUAUUUUUUAAGUCCAUUCCUCAUACUCAUUAAAAGUUGUUAAAAUGUUAACUGGGCUGAGUUAAUGGGCUAAGUUUAUUAAAAAAAUUCUUCUAAGGCCCAAAACGAUGUGAACAUAAUUUUUUGGCCCAAUUUAUAAUAUCAUCCGACAUCAAUCCGUAAACCAAAUUUUAUUGCAUUACACAUAAUUUAUAACAGUUAAAACAUGAAAAUUAUACAAAAUAUAUAUAAAAGCAUUAUUAAAAUCAGAAAUACAUGUAAUUAGCCCGUCAAAAGCUGCUUCCUCGAAACUCCUCGCUUCGAAGCAUCGGUGCUAAGAAGGGACUAAGGAAAAACCAUGGCGGGAAUCCGGCCAAUCGUCCGAUCCCGAGCCGAUACUCUUUGGCUUCCAGUUUCUCAAACCUGCAAAAAAAACCAAAGAAUUGAAAAACACAAGAAAUGUGGUUGGGCUAAGAUUUUUAUUGGGCCAUAUAUGAUUUUAAGCCCAAACACAAGAAAUGCUUCUUCCAAUUAAAAGCCACUACGUAGAUAUAUACUCAAGAAAGAGAAACUCUUCCACAAGAGGUUAUCAACCCAUAAUAUAAGCUUUUACUAAUUUUCUGAUUUAUUUUAAUUGCUUCAAAAUCCUUAUAUCCCCACUACAUCUCUGCAAUGGAGAUAGUCUUAGUAAAAAAAUUAAACAAUAGUUUACAUGAAAUCAGAAAACAACUCUGCAUUAAAAGCCCAAUCCGACUUAAAGGCCCACGAGGCCCAAUCUUGCCCUUCACUUAGGGUUUCUGAGUCUUCAAAUGUUGUGACCUAUCGCCUCUACUAUCAUCCGUCAAUUCUCUCCCGGAAAAUUUUUCCUGAUUCUCUUUUGAGGGUUUGCGACAGAGAGAAAGCAACCAUGCCGGCGAAACAGAGGAUGCCUAAGGUCAGCAGGAACCCUGAUCUGAUCAGGGGUGUUGGUAAAUACUCGAGGUCGCAGAUGUACCAUAAGAGGGGUUUGUGGGCUAUCAAGGCCAAAAACGGCGGCGUUUUCCCCCGCCACGACGCUAAAUCUAAGGUUGAUGCUGCGGCGGAGAAGCCACCGAAGUUCUAUCCGGCUGAAGAUGUUAAGAAACCUCUCGCCAACAGGCGGAAGCCAAAACCCACCAAGCUCAGGUACCUAUCUGACUCACUGUCUCAUGAUCUUGGAUAGAAAGCUAGCUCGAUUCAAAUGUAUUCUACGUGUUUGGCUCUUAGAGUAGUUGUUUGCUUAGUGGCUCUGUAUUAGAUUGUUUGAAUCUGCUGGAUCAUUUUAAAACUGUUGUCUUGUGGGGUUUUAAAGAUUAUUGGAAAUGAAGGAGUUUUCGAAGAUUACAAUGUUCUAUUUCCUUGAUUUUGUUACUUCAUUG